rfam:Oryza meridionalis cultivar OR44 (W2112) chromosome 9, whole genome shotgun sequence.
UUUAAGGCGAGAUAUCGAUUUCUAUGUCUAACAUUUCACCGUUUGUCUUAUUUAAAAUUCUUUUAUGAUUAGUAUUUUAUUUGUUAUUAAAUGAUAAAAUAUGUAUAAUACUUUAUGCGUGACUUAUUUUUUUUGAAAAAAUUAAAUAAGACGAACGAUGGACACAGAAACUCACAACAACGCUUAAA